rnacentral:rRNA from 1 species
ACGGGUGAGUAAUGUCUGGGAAACUGCCUGAUGGAGGGGGAUAACUACUGGAAACGGUAGCUAAUACCGCAUAACGUCGCGAGACCAAAGAGGGGGACCUUCGGGCCUCUUGCCAUCGGAUGUGCCCAGAUGGGAUUAGCUAGUAGGUGGGGUAACGGCUCACCUAGGCGACGAUCCCUAGCUGGUCUGAGAGGAUGACCAGCCACACUGGAACUGAGACACGGUCCAG